UAUUUAGAAGCUAUUCGAUGCGUCAGUCAACCGAUCUAUCAACAAGUUACACCAGUUGUCACCAGUUAUGCCUUUAUUCUCACGCUCCGAAGGAAGGGAGCGUGAGAAUUUUCUCAGUUGUACAACUUCCUCUACAAACUGAUGACAGAAGUCUAGUUGGAGCACUUAUAUUUCAGUAACGGUUUCUAGGUAAUCAACGAACUAUGGUGGGACAAACGCCGUCCGACAAACUAACGUUCUCUGGUCUCUGGUAAAAUUCGGCCAUCGAGUCGCGCGCGGGAAUGCGUGGGUGGAAUAAUACUGUACCAUUGUGCAAUACAAGACAGCCACUGGAGCAGUAGAACUCAGCUGGUGCGGAUUCCAGGACUUCUUGCAAAGUUUGCAGCAUCUUGUUGCUUCAACAUGUCUGCUCUGUUCUGCGGUGACGGGUAUGUUACAAGUAUGGAUCAGGUUUUGUGACUGCUUGUUUUGUACUUAUAGUUCCACACAGUUUGAGUCUUUCGUACUCACAAACAGCUCAACGAAGAGCAUGCGCAAUGCCGAUCGGUGAUUCCACACGAUGCUCGUGAGAAUCUCGGCGAGUACGUUGUGCCACAGUGUAAGUACAAUCAGACCGUCUAACCAGAUUAAUUAUCUCUUGUACGACUAAGAACAACACAAAGGCCUACAAAGACUAUAAAACUCAGCGUGGUUCUGGGAGGAAAACAGUAAGCAAGGACUUGAUAAGACAAUAGAGCGGCUAACUGGAAAAACCCUACAGCGUUAAAGACACAACAACCUUGCGUCCAACAUGCGGUUUUGUGUUAAAAUAGACAGAGAACCAGCUUGUUUUGCAGACAGUGUAAAGCUGCUUUUACGCGGAAGGCUAGAGAUUCAGAAAGCUUCUGUUUAGGUGUGGAAUGAGAGACCAUUCGCUUAGUCCACUCGCCUUUAGCCGCAUGUGAAUUGAACAAGUGCUCCAUGGAAAUCAGAAAACUAAGCUAGCGGCUAAACGCAGUCAAAACGUUUCAACUGUACCCUAUGUACAAGAAAUUUAAGGGUGCAGGCAGCCUUGAACCGGCUAAAGGAUCUGGAGCGGCACAAAUCUCAGAAAAAAAAAAUCAACUUUGUUAACAGAGCAGAUGAACAACAAUCUGAUUAUGGAAAAUUUUGAAGUGACUGCUAUAUGCAGACUAAACUUAGUUGACACGACCUAUUUAGCUCUACACUCUUAGUUUUCUGUCACUUCUAUAUCAAAAUUACACGAGCUUUUGUGUUACGGAUUAAAGCAAAUGGCAAUAAACAUUUUUCAGUUAAUAAAUCACUUGCCACAAAUGUUUAUACUAGGGUUCACGGUUUAAUAAAGUUUAUGUGCUUCUGUCUGCUCCAGGCUUCGUUUGUUGACCUGACAAGUUCAAUUACACGACAUUUUGGAGACUAAUUUUCCUGUUUGAUAAAAAUGUCGAAAUACCUUAAUUAGAGGCUUGACUUGUACGUGUGAGUAGCAAUUGCCCUCCCACGCUUUCCUCCUCUAUUUUCUACCUUCGUUAGCUUCACAAGCUAACAAUUAAUAUUUUGCUUUGAGUUUCGGUUUUUUCCUAACCUUGUACUUUGCUGGAGACGAAGAAUAAAUUCGACCUGGAGUGAGGAAUGCCUUUAGUGUCGAGAUGGGGUUAUAUUUCAUAUAACACAGCUCGCUUUAUCGUUUUUUAAUUCACUCCUCAACCCGCGCUGAUGGCAAUCCGAUCCGUUUAAGCCCAGCACAAAGUCAAUUAAACAAAACCUCAUGGUGUUUUCCUGACCUUUUGCGUCCUAACAAUGUGGUUAAUCCGGUACAUUAUCCCCCUGCGUUUGAAAACAGCAUUACAGCAUCAUUUGCAGAAGUUGAGUUCGUGAUAUCAUUAACAUAUUGUUGCUUAAUUAUAAAACUCUAAAGGUUUUCAAAUUAUUUGGGGAAGCUUGGCAUAAAUGCAGAUAAAUGAUAUAGACAUCAGUAACAGACUGUGUUGUUGUUUUUUUUUCAGUGUAUAUGUAGCAUUGUCGAAUAAAAAACAUCUAUAGUGAGUUGCGUAUAGGGUCAAAUCCAUUUAAUACGUUAUAAUUAAUUAUCCGCUAACACAAAAGUCUGGUUUUUUUUUUGCUAAGACAAUAGUCUUAGAAGGAUUUCUGUUGGGAACACAAUUUUAACUUUUUCCUUGCAAGAACAAGAGCGCUGAAACACACCGGCUUAUGAAUCUUUGUCCACCUUUGUGGUCAGGGAUUUUAAUAAUCUAAGAUUAGGAGAGAAAGAGAAAUGCCAGAAAUGUUGAACAAUCCCGUCACUGAAUAAUAAACGCUAUUGUGAAGAAAAGAUUCAUUCAUUCAAUGAAAGGAUUAGUCAAUGAAAGAAAGAGUAUUUAGCUUUAGAAAGUUUUAGGAGCCGAUGACAACUUACAUCUCACAUAUAGUGUUACAUUUGUUUAAGUAAUGAUAUUACUGAUAGAAUUGACAGCAUGUUACUCCGAGAGAGAUGAUGACCUUCUCACUUCUGAAUACCAGUCUGCCUGGCAAAUGUAUUGAAAAUACAGGGAGAAAUCAACUUUUGAUGAAUUAUUCGAGAGAAGCCUUAUGGCUCAGCUUUAUCAAGUGUAACGUUGUCCUGCUGCGAUUAUAAUGAGUAAAAUUAACAAAUUAAAUCCCUGCAGUUGUAAAAUGACUCUUGUUUAAACGCUUAAGUUACAAAAGGGUUGGGAUUUUUUUGCUUUAUUAUAUUUCAUUUAUUUCUUUCUUUAUUUUUUUUUUCAUCCCAUGAACAGUUAAAUUAGUGACAGAAUUGCCGCGGUGGAGGUAAUCGCGCCAAGUCGGAAACAAAUUUACAAAUAAGAUGAGAUAGGCUUUUAGUAACCUAAUAAUUUAAGCCAGUUUAGACGAUUCUUGAUUGAUGUUAUUUUUGCCUCGGGCUUUAUAGAUUCAUCUUAGAUACUUUACAUUCAUUCUGUUUGCUGUCUGACGAUCAACAAAGAACUCCAUUCCACUGGUAGUUAUAAACUCUCACGGGAACUUUCGACGAAAGUUUUCUAAACAGUUUCAAAACUAUCACAAGACUUUUAAGUUCACUGUCAAUUAAAGUGUUACAAAAGGAGUUCAGUUGCAAAUAUGUCUCUUAUGCCUUUUACAAGGCAAGGAGAACAGUAGAUCUUUGUUUGUUUUAAUGUGAAUGACUUAUAAUUGGGUUAGAGCAUAUGGCACGCGGACAAUAAAUUUUUCUUAAAUUUUUCAUGAACACACACACAGCGUUCUUGUUCGGACUUUGACAGGGAGUGCAAUUCAUCAAGAAAUUUAUUAUCAAACAAACAAUAGUUUCAAAUUGUUUUAGACAUAAGUUUUUCUCGCGGGAAUGCUUGUUAUUUUACAAAACAUAAAUGAGACAUAUUGAUUUCCCCAGGCGAGGCGACUACGCAUUGUAAUGUGUUCAAGACAGUGGCGCGUUGAUUAUGUCCCCGCGAUAAUCUUUCCGUUUCAAUCGUCUGUGAAUACAGUAUUACUCAGUGAUAUUCACUGAGAAGCCAUUGGCGCUUGCACGAUUGCAGUGCCGUCUAAGCUCACUUAAUAUUAGCUCAAUUCUUGUUCAUUCAUCACUUUCACUUAGCAUUUGAUUUCAAUGACACACGGAGCCGCCUUUUACAAGCACACUAAAACAAAACAGAUGGCGUUAAUUGGAGCGAGACGCAAACACUAUUGGCUCUUCAGUGUUUGUGCAUACUAAUGAAAUUCCGGCCUUAUAAAGAAUAUCGUUACUCGAUCGGAUUGACCUGUCACUUGGAAGUCGGCGGUCACUGUGCGAGGCUUGUCUGAAAUUUUCGUGUCCUUUGAUCAGUUUCUUCAAGACGGCUAGGGAUUCGCACUGCAAGCGAUUACUGCCAGUUCACGAUGAUCCUAUACGCUUUUGGUCUCUUACUUCUCCUGGGCUUCUCUAAUGGUACGUAAGGUAUUUUCACAGAGUUUAAUGUCCUUAUAAGUUUUCAUGUAUUCAGAUAUUUGAUCUUCAGUCGCUCUUCGUUGUUGCCUGAGAAUUCCAUGGUGGUAAAUCGCUGAUUCUUUGCUAAAUGAGCGACCUAAAACGCGUCUUUCAGUGUAAGUAAUUGAUCUUGGACCUAAUGGCGUGUGCUGGGUGGCGAAUAGUCCUUCAAAAACCAGCACAAGCGAGAAAUUUUCCUCGAAUUUCAAGAGUCUCGAAGUCUUGUUGUUCUUAGAGGUUAUAUGUCUCUCGCAGUCUCGAUUUUUCCACAAAGCUGUUUCGGAGUCUCCGUUUGUCUGUUUAAUGUAUAAAUGACAUAUGAUGAACGUUUUUAUUCUUAGAGUCUGGAGAUUUCGCUCGCAGUUAAAACAUGUACUUUGGAGUCUUGACCUCGCUAUUUAAAAGUCAAAAUGUCUCGGUCUCGCAAAGGAAAACACUAGUUUCAGUUUCGCUUUCUUGCAAAGUCUCGCAUGUAUAAAAUUCUAAGGACCGGUCAGUCACGCCAAGUAACUAACGCCGGCAUUUUUACCGCGACGACAGUGUCUUCUAGAUUUAUCUUACACAAUGUCAAUUCUUCAAACAGCUAGGGUUGUUGAUUAUCUAUAACUAUAAAACUAUGUAGUUCUUUGCGAAAUACAGCCAUGUGGUCGAUUGUAAAUUCUUGUCAUAAUCCACUCUCUUUUGUUCUGUUCAAAAGAUCUGCAGCCAGGGACGAACUUUUAGUCGCCAUUCUCGGUAUUUUACAUACCCAAAUUGUUUAUUUUCCAGAGCUAAUAUACUUCAUGACUUGGAUUACUACUCGUAAAUAAUUAAUGUUAUCCAAAACUCACUGGAGAAAGCGAAGGAACGUGUAAAUUGCAAACCAUUUUUCCAAGCGCUGUGCGGUUGCCAGCCACGCGCCGCUGCACACUGAUUUCAAUGUGCAUAAAUCUUGCUCGCUGCAAACACUUGCAAUACUCUCUUAUUAAGUAAUGUUUGUUUUGUCUCUAAUACUUGUUUCCACCAUUGACUUUUUCGUUGCUCGUUCACCAAGCUAUAUAAUGAACUUUUUGACUUUGCUGUAGAAUUGAUCCUAUUUAGUUUUGGCUGGUUUUGUUAGUUUUUGCUUGGUCUGGGUGUGGUUGAGACAAAAUCAAACAUCAAAUUUAAAUUCAAAGUCCGUUCAACCACAAAAGCUAAUAAAUAUUCAUCAAAUUAAGCUCUUGGCAGAUAGUUGAAAAGUUUUGGUAAACAGUUUUGACUAAUAGUUCAAUUUGUUAUGACCGAGUCUCAGCUCGCACAUUUUCUUUGAAACAAUCCUUUGGUGUAAAGAAGAUUUUUUAUACCAAGCUUAAACGAGCGCAGGAAAUUCAAUGUACAGAAAGCGAUGAAAAUUCUUUUAGUCUUCCAAGGCAGCGAAGAUUAAAAAUUUUAAUUUAUUCCAAGAUAACUGUGGCUCCCCACGAGGUCCAUUGUUUUUUUUUGUGUGUUGUCCAAGAGUUUGAAGAACAGUCGCAGUAAAAUUCAUAUCAAAGUGUAAAGAAAGAGCCAAAGGACAUUAUUAGAUAUGAGAUCGGGCGCCUGAUUGUGUGAAAAUUUGAAGCUUAGCAAAGAUCAAGACAUCCGGAACACCACACAUUAGCAUAUUAUCGAAGCGUGAAUUGAAAACGCCGACUUAUGAAUAUUGAAGAAUUUUAUUCAGGCUUGUAUCGAUGUUUGUUUGAAGGCGGGCGGGUCUUUUGUCUUAAACCACCUGGCUUUUAACAUAUCGCGCACAAGAGUAUAUUAUCGUCUCGCAAAUUGAGCACUCAAAUGCAAAAUAAAAGCUUCCUUGCUUUCAUUAUGUCAAAUACUCUGUAUGCUGUUAAAUGGCGCCCUGAUAAUAUAAAGAUAUUCUUUUCCAAGUAAGCAUCAUUAGUUUUAUAGAACUGUUUCCACAAGAGGUGGUGCACUUGAACCUCUACGUUUUAACGAAUCACCCAAAGUUGUUGAGUUUACUAUAUUAGCCUUGAUUAAUUACUAAGCAAGUC